rnacentral:rRNA from 1 species
AUUGAACGCUGGCGGCAGGCUUAACACAUGCAAGUCGAGCGGAGAUGAGGUGCUUGCACCUUAUCUUAGCGGCGGACGGGUGAGUAAUGCUUAGGAAUCUGCCUAUUAGUGGGGGACAACAUUCCGAAAGGAAUGCUAAUACCGCAUACGCCCUACGGGGGAAGGCAGGGGAUCUUCGGACCUUGCGCUAAUAGAUGAGCCUAAGUCGGAUUAGCUAGUUGGUGGGGUAAAGGCCUACCAAGGCGACGAUCUGUAGCGGGUCUGAGAGGAUGAUCCGCCACACUGGGACUGAGACACGGCCCAGACUCCUACGGGAGGCAGCAGUGGGGAAUAUUGGACAAUGGGCGGAAGCCUGAUCCAGCCAUGCCGCGUGUGUGAAGAAGGCCUUUUGGUUGUAAGGCACUUUAAGCGAGGAGGAGGCUACCUGGAUUAAUACUCUAGGAUAGUGGACGUUACUCGCAGAAUAAGCACCGGCUAACUCUGUGCCAGCCGCCGCGGUAACAC